GGGUUCAUAGCUCAGUGGUAGAGCAUACGAUUGCAGAUCGUGCGGUCCCGUGUUCGAACCACGGUGGGCCCU
rnacentral:tRNA from 1 species